CGGAUUUAGAGAGGGCUUGGGGGUGUGUUUUGCAUGGAAAUAAUGAUACCUUGGGGAGUGUUACUCACUAAGUCAGAGAUGACAGGGGGAGUGUGAUGCACAUACUCAGAGACACAAAUGAGAUUGUGACACACGACGUCAUAGACGUCAUGGGGUGAUUUACAAAAGAAGUCAUACAUGGCAGGCAAAUGUGACACUCGAAGUCAAGGAUGCCAGGAGGAGUCUUCCACAUAAAUUCCGAGACACCAGGUUGAGAUUGACACACGGAGUCCCAGGCACCAUGGCGAUUGUGACACACAAAGAGACGCCAAGUGGUUAUUGACACAUGAAGUCAGAGACAACAGGUGAAGUGUGACAUACCAGGUCAGAGACACAGCAAGGAGUGUGACACACAAAGAGACGACAGGUGGAUUGUGGCAAACAAAUUCAGAGAUGACAGGGUGAGUGUUACACACUAAGUAAGAGACGCCACAGAGCAUGUUACAAAUGAAGUCAGAGACACCAGGGGGAGUAUUACGCAUGAAUUCAAAGACACCAUGUGGAGUGUUAUGCAUGAAGUCAAAGACACCAGGGGAGAGUAACAAACAAGUCAGACACAACAGAGGAAGUGUGACACAUGAAGUCAGAGAUCUCACAGGUGAGUGUUAAAUAAAAAGUCAAAAGACAACAGGGAGAGUUUUACUCAUGAAGAGAGAGAUGCCAUGGAG
rnacentral:lncRNA from 1 species